ensembl:lncRNA LINC00670 long intergenic non-protein coding RNA 670
ACAGUGCAGUGGCUUAAGAUAGUUCUCUUUAGUUUUCCCAUGAUUUAUCACAAGCAAGUUCACAGCAGCGACGACACAGUUGAAAUAACUCCUUCGUGGAGGCUGGCUACAUUUUCACAACGUCUGGUCCCAAGCUAGAUCUUCGGGAAAAGGGAUCAAGGAAAUGACUAUUCCUCCAAAUAAAAUGCAACAAGAAGAAUGAAAAAACGUAGAAGAGAAAGCCUCGUGAAACUGAGAAGCAUCUGCAACCACAAACUACAAAAUGUAGCUGCUAAACAAAAUGAAAGUUGGAUCAAAGUGGUGGCAAAUAUCAAGAGUGAAUAUACUCCACGGCAGAGUACUGCAAAUGCUGCACAUCUUUCAUGGAUUCUGGUCCACCUCGUCCUCACGCGGGGAUGCAGACUGACAAGCUUCCACCAUGAAGGGUUGUCAUUUGCCAUAGCAGGGAGAGGAAAAUGGAGCAAAUCAGUCACCAGCUCGUCAUACAGAAGAGUGUCCCACGUCAUAUCUGCUGAUAUGUUAUGGCCAAAGUACAUGACUAUCUCCAAGGAGCUGAGAGGUGAAAUUCGGACAUUUGUCUGGACGGAGUAGAACCAAGAGAGUCGUAAACAUCCUGUGGACUACACACCGUUUAACAAGAUGCAACAGUAUUCUGGGUAAGAGAUCAUGGAGAGGCAUUUAUGAAAGCAUUUUUAAAUCAAAUACAAUUAUUACAAUUUGUCGAUUAAUUGGAUGUGAGAAUGGAGGGAGAUGGAAGAGUCAGGGAUCAUUUCCCUGUGAUGGAAAGGACAACUGGAUAAAUGCUGUAAAGUGUCCUGAGUUAGAGAAUGUAGAAGAUAUUUUGGAGUGGGAGGGAACAUUCAAACAGAGAUGUCUAGUACAUAGCUGGAAAUGAGAUCAGAAGAGAGGUCUGGGCCGAAUAAAUAAAUUUUAGAGCGUUUGACAUCCAAAAGGUACUUGAAAUCAAUGGAACAAAGAUUUGUAUGGGAGGGUAAGCAAAUCAUUCUUCUUUGAGACUUUCUCGAUUUUGGCACUGAAAGUCGUAUGUCAUGGGAACAUUCUCAGGCUUGAACAAACUGCAGUAGUUGGUCACCCUUUGAGAGUGUGUGAAUAAAAAGAACACCAA